GGAUGCGAUCAUACCAGCACUAAAGCACCGGAUCCCAUCAGAACUCCGAAGUUAAGCGUGCUUGGGCGAGAGUAGUACUAGGAUGGGAGAUCUCCUGGGAAGUCCUCGUGUUGCAUUCC
rnacentral:rRNA from 1 species